AUGCGUCAAGGGGACGGUGCCGUUCACCCCCGUGCUGGCGCUCUGGUAGUGCUGGGGCAGGGAGUGGAGCCGGCUCUGGGCGGCAGCGGCCGCCGGAUCCCCGCCUUCCCCGGCCGCGCCCGCAGCCGCUUCGCCUCGUCGAUGAACGGUCUCUUCUCGGCCUCCGACAUGACUUUCCACUCGGCUCCCAGGCGCUUGCUGAUCUCCGAGUUGUGCAUUUUGGGGUUCUCCUGGGCCAUCUUCCGCCGCUGGCCCCGCGACCACACCAUGAAGGCGUUCAUGGGUCUCUUGACCCGGUCCUGGUUUGCUUUGUUUCCCCCGCCGCCGCCGCCGCCGCCGCCGCCGCCUCCCGCUCCGGUCUGCCCCGAGAGGUUCGUGGGGGCCUGGGCUCCGCCAGGGGAGUGCAAGUCCGUCUCCAUCAUCAUGCUGUACAUUCAAAUAGCUUUUUUAUUUUCCACCGGUGCCAGACGUGAAAAAUGAAUCAAACAUAGAGGAGCCCGGGAGGACGGUGAGUGAGCGAGGCGAAACCCGUUUGUAUCUAGGUAGCGACCGCCGUGUGAAGAAAAAAAAAAAAAAAAAAAAAAAAAAAAAAAAAAAGAGGAGGAGAAGAAAACCGCGAGGAGAGCGAUCGGCGACCCUGCCGGCGAAAACUUUCUCCCUUUCGCAAAUCACUUUCGGGGCUCGGCGGCGACGGGGGUUCGAGCUGCUCAAACAGGUGCACGGCAAACUUGCUGCUUCACUUGGCGCGGCGGGAGGAGUGUGCGGAGCCGUCGGCGGUGUCCUCCGCUCGCCGGCGCUCCCCGGCAGACGCGCGCACACCCCUCCGCUCCCGCUCUUAUCCUUAACGGAGCUAUUUUUUUUUGUUCUUUGCUGCUAACUUGGAGAGAGAGAGGGAGGGAGGGGAGGGAGCGUGUGUGACUUGCAUCCGCUGAUCGCAGGUGAACGGAGCAGAAGAGAGGAGAACCCACCGCCACGCGAAAAGGAGGCGAAAAAAAAAAAAGUAUUUCAACGUUAACUGAAAAAAAAAAAAAUGCAGGAGGAGGAUCGGGGGAGGGAGGGGGUGGGGGAAGGAGCCCAACCAAAACACGCGCCGAUUCCGGCGGCCGGGGCGCGGCGGCACAGCAAUUUGCUGGCGGUGGUCUCCCUCCCGCGGCCCGGGCGGGACGGCCGGGAUGGGGCCGGGACGGGGCCGGCAGAGGAGGAGGAGCCGCCGGGCGCGCGGGCGAGCGACGCCGCAGCCAUACGGCGCGCGCCGAGCCCGCCUUAAAUCGCCUGGCGGCGGCCAAUGGGGGCGCGCCGGCGGGCGCUGAUUUGCAUAUGGCGCGCGCCGAGCGGUGACGUGCACCGGGGCGCGCCGCGCUCGGGGGGGCGGAGGGGCCGCGUCCCGCCCGCGGCCCCCGACGGCGCCCCCGGGGCCGGAACACCCCCCCGGCCCCCGGCCACCCCUCUGGCCCCGCCGGGCAUCGCCGCAGGGAGCCCUGAAGCCUCGGGCUGCCGCGUCCCCGCCGGGCGCGCCCCUCACUUAGACGACCGUCGAGCAGUAUUUAGGGGGGCUGAGGCGCCCCAGGCUGUCCGUCCCGGUACCGCAGGCCUGCGAUCGGCACGCAAACACGCCUUUUCCGCGGGACUUCGUUCUGGAGAAUUCUCUGGAGCCCCCUCAGACAUUUCUCCCAGGUGUUAAAACUGCUCCCAGGCCCAGGCAUGAGGCAGAGGCUGGACGCAGUCGUUAUUCACUUAGUCCUAGGGGAGUUAAAAGCACCUGCGACUAAAGAAGGUACACGGAAACAUGUUAUCUUUGUAUACAGUAACUACAGGUGCAUGAUUUUUUCCCCUUGAAAAUAUUAAAAGACUACCUUUGUGCCCUGGCUGUCCUGUGAGAUUAUAGUUAUUUUAUAGGGGGGAGAAAAUGGUCCACACAGAAAUUCAUGCUGCAGUCUUUAAUUGCAGCCAUAGGAAUGGCAAGUCCAUCAGACAAAUGCCCACGCAUGUAUAAACGGCCACCCCCAUCAUCUUUCACCAGGUGGAGAAAGGGACACGCAGCAUGCCUGCUCUUUUCACGGUCCGUGUUAAUUUUCCUGACCCUAGUGGCCAUCCAAGGCUGGAAUCACGCUGCAACUCCCCCAAUUACUGUUAUUACCACCAGAAGUUUUCUGCAGGAGGAGUAUGCACCGUGUACAAAGCACCAGCCUUAGGCACUGGGCUAGGAUCAGACUUUUUUUCUCAUUUCCAGUGACUCGUCAUGAAAUAGUGAUCUCAUCAUGAUAAUCUAGGUUUGCUGGGGAGGCGAAAGUGCCUCUCCGCUUCUGACGGCCAAAGGCUCAGGCUGCUUCUAGGCCCUUUGAGCUCAGCCUGAGUGAUGCUAGUAACUCUGGUGCCGGUGCUUUUGGGAGGAGACUGUUCUCUCCCAGUGCACCUAAGGGUGCAAAGAGGGCAUGGAAGACGGUGCAGGAACACACGCGCGCUUCUCCAGCUGAGAGUUUCUCAAAUUGCCAUACCUGCCACGGCAAAACAAGGGAGGCCGUUGUGAUUGUUAAAUUAUGUAUUAAAAAUAUAAUUGGUUAGGGUAGGAGGGGAGGGAGACGAGGAGAAGGUUACUGCAGAAAGGCGUGUUUCCACUUCGACGGCCAAAUGAAGAUGAGGAGUAAAAACUGCGAGAUAAGAUGUCAUGGCUUGCACAUUAUCCACCCAAGGCCCUAGUGGUAUUUUCCCCUGAAAUUUGAUAUAAAGGCACCUAAAGACUUCCUGACAAAUAAAUGGGUGGAAUCGCUGGGGGGCAUUCUUUUCCGGAUGAGUCCUAUGCGUCCUGCCAGCCGGUGGACCCCGUGGGAACACACCCUUAUCCCUGGGAAUUGGGCAUACACACCAGCUUCCCUCCCCCUCACGUACAGGGAAACUGUGCCCGAGGCUGAACUUUCCCUUCCCUGGUGCACAGGAAGCUGCUAAUCCACACCCUCCCGGGGCCUGCCCCCUCCUGGACUUUUUACCUCUUUUUCCUGAUCCCCGGCAAAUAAACAGAGAAUGCCCCUUCCCUCCCCUAGAAGCAGCCAAACUACCAUGAACGCGGUAGCGGGGAGAAACGCGGACAGAGAGCAGGGAGCGAGGAUAUGCUGCUGCCGUGAGUCCCUCUUGCCUCUGGCCCAGGUGUACCCCGCUCACCUUCGGCCAGGGGGUGUCUAUCGACUGAACGGGGGGGGGAGGAAGGUGUAAAAGCCAGUUCGGGGGGGCAGACAGUGGUAAAGGUAGUGCAGAUCCCGAUUCACGGGACAAGGAACGAGGUCAAGCACUGGCGAGUGUCGUUUGACAGGGCUGCGGGGCUGGGGUGGUGGUGCAGGCCGGGGCUGCUCCCGGAGAUGAGAGGUCCUUGGACUUUCCCCUGCAGAAAGGGGGGUUGCAAAGAACCAGGAGUCGGGUGGUGGAGGGAGUAGGUGGGGGCGGCCGGGGGUGUGGUGUGUGCUGGGUGAACGCUGCAGGAAAGUCAGAGGGGAGGCGGAGAGGAGGUCCCGCACUAGGAGCAGAACCGGAGAGGGCUAAAUGUCCGGCCGCGGCAGCGGUCUCCCCUCGGGCCUGCAGAGGGGACAAGUACCGGCGAGGGCUUUUCGCAGGCCGGUCGCAGUGACAAGUGCCUGCCCCCGGCCACGGCUCCCCCCCAUCUCCGCGCUGCGAGGUGGGACGCGCCCCGGCGGGCGGUGCCUCUCCCCGCGCCCUGCUGAGCCUGGAGGGCCGCCCCCUCGGGGUGGGGGUCGCCCGCCGAGGGCCCGGCCGACGCUGUGCG
ensembl:lncRNA